ACUUCAUGAAAUGUCCACCUCUUGAAGAGCAUUAAGAACCGUCCCCGUUACUGAUGAAGGCGGCAGACGACACGUUCAUGGACGACUCCCAGGAUUCCACAUUGAUGGACACAUUGGAUGACACCAACAUGUCAUUCGACAUGGAGGCCAGCCACCAGGGGUUCCCAGAAAUCCCUACCCCAAAACCCACCAAAAAGGAAGAACACACAGAAAAAAAGAAGAAGAAAAACAGGAAAUGGCGUCCCCCAAGCGGCUAUAUUCUGUUCUCUAAAGAAAGUCGUAGGAUCAUCAAUGCCGAAUCACCUGACAUCUCCUUUGGGGAAAUAAGUCGCUUAGUGGGUGUGCAGUGGAGAAAUUUAAACAAAGAAGAUAAGGAGAAGUAUGAGGAGAGGGCCAAGAGGAUAGCAGAGGAGCAGUUAGCCAAACAACAGGAGGCCACCAAGGCAAUGAACGAUUCCCUGCAGGGGCAGUGGGACAGCUCCGGGGGUAAGGGAUCCCCCGCACCCUCCAACAGACCAGGCACCCCUGGUGGCAUGCAGGGACAGUACCAAGGUCACAUGGUACAAGGACUGCACAAUGGGGUGCCUCGACUCACCCCACACAGUGGGAUGUCGCCGGGGCGACAGUAUAUGCCUCCAUAUCACGGCACCCCCACAGGAAUGAGGCCGAUGACAGGAGGAUACCCCAACACUCCGCCAAACAGCAUGCUGCCCGGUCACCUAGCGGGCACCCCUCAGGGUGGACAACAGAUGGCGCCCCCACCCCCUCCCCCUCCCCCACCCAGACCCCCCUCCCCAAUGUUUGUCAGCGUCCCUCCCCGGACCCAGAGACUGCUGCACUCAGAGGCCUAUCUCAGAUAUAUUGAGGGUCUGAGGGCAGACAAACCUUUCAUCAGUGACUGGGACAAAAACCUGACUGCCAACGCAGAGAACACUAGCACCGACCCGAAUCGUCUCCCUGCUCAUUGGCUGGCCGAGGGACCAGGUUACCAUGGGAACACCUCCAACGCUCUGUGGGCAUUACGUGACCUCAUGCUGAAAGACACUCUGAAUAUCUCUAGAACAUUAUCAUUUGAGGCAUUAUAAUUUAUUCCUGUGUAACCCCAGGCUCGGGAGGAGGCUGUUCAUUGAUCUGUAUAUUUUGUGUUCAGAGCUUGUGUUCACUGUCAGCAAUGGAGGGAUGAGUGGCGGGCGGACGGUUCUUAUGUGUGUCUGUUUAUCUGUAUGGUUGUCUUAUUAGAGGUGUGUGUGUAGGUGUAUGUGUGGAAACAUCAACAUUCAUGUAUAAAAUAUCAACACACGGUUAGAAUAGUCAUGUAUGGGUGAGUUAUUAGUGAGUGGACAUUGAUAAUUACAUGUAUUUAUGGGGGUGAUAAUUACAUGUAUUUAUGGGAGUGAGAGCUGCAAUGCUUCAUAUGUUUAAUGGCUCGAUGUGAUUAUACUUGUAGUAUUUUGGAAAGAACAACUUUUAUAUUUGUGUGUGUGUAAACCCAAAAUGUAAAGCUAAGUAAUGCGUUGUAAUUCCUUCAUUAUUGUUAAAAUGAAGUUCUCUGUAUGCUGUGAGAAUGACCAAGCUAUGUCAAUUUUAAUGAAACCUUAUACUGAUAUGCCACGUAUGUGUGUGUUAAAGAUUUACAAAUUCUAGGAUUAAUGUUUUGUUGGGCAGCAGUAUUCAUAUAUUAUGUAAUUUCUGUAGACAUUGUAGGUUCUAAAAUUAAAUAUUGAUCUUUC
rnacentral:misc_RNA from 1 species